CAUGUCUGCAAAAUAUAAGAAAACGUGCCGUCCUAAAUUGCAAUAGAAUCUAUGCACUGUCACUUCCGCGUUUUGUCUCAGUUGUACUGUAGCUUCCGGCGCAGCGCUUAUUGCACACUGUUUUAAUAAGCGCUGUCAGCAUGUCAUUUUACACUCGCUGCUUGCAAGAGCUUCCCCGGAUUACGGUGAACGACGUCAAUCGAGUUGUGAGGUUGGCAUCUGUCACUCCUUCUAGUAAAAAGGAGAAAUGAUUUAAAUGGUACAUUUCGAGUUACAUCGACAACUUUGAGGUUUCUAAUAAGGAUCAGAUCUAUGAGGAAGACAGAGAAGUCACAUAGAGAUGCAACUGUUCUUGUGUUGCUGGCACUGCACUGUGUAAUCACAUAGUUGCACUACUGUACCAGACAGAACAUUACUCUCAGCUUGGCAUCAGUGCAGUUCCUCCAGUGAGCAGCUGUACUGAAACUGAGCAGAGCUGGCACAAACCAAGAACAAUGGUAAGUUAUUAAGAUUAUUAAAAUACGCAUUGCUUCCCUGUAUCCUUAACUUUGUCUAAUUAAUGAGAUGACCAAGACAUAUAUUGCUGGUUUCAUGGUACAUAUCUGGCACAUUCAUCCUAAAAUUAUCAUUGGUAUUCCUAGGGAGUCCGGCCAGGUCCUGUCACUGGGAUGGUGGUUUUAUCUGCAAGACCUAAAGAGAGGAAACUUGCUGCUGGUGUAAAGUGGAUACUGCAAUCAACUAUAAAUGAAGAGUUUCGUUGCAAAACAAGAUAAAUCCACUUUUUAACAUUUUUGUCAAAAGAUGUUUAUUAUUAUGUUAUCAUGUUAUUAUUUUGUUUUAUGGUGCUACUUAGCUGUAAUUUUUAAGUUAUGAAGGUUUAAAUCAAAACAAACCAACUGCAGUUGCAUUGAAAUUAAUUGGAAUGCACAACCAAAAAACGAGAUUUCUGAACAAUUAAAAAACGGUGGUUAUCUCAUUUUGCAAUGAAACUCUUCAAAUGUAACCUAAUAGUGUAAUAUGCAAAUGUUUACGGUUUAAACAAAUUGACAGUUAAAAAAUUAUGGCAUUUAUAUACCCUUAUGUAAUUCCGGACCCAUAUGAUUUUAUUCUGGGACAUACAGAAAGACAUCUUCCCAGGUGAAAAAGUGUACUUCCAUAAUGUACUUGGUCUUUUUUUAUGAAAUGUACUAAAAUUUCUUCUUUAGUACCUCCUAUGAUAAACUUGAGAACAUGUAAGUGUACUCAACUGUGCAAUUUUUUAGACAUCAACAAUAUAAAUUAAAACACACCUUUAAGAUACUAUCUCUCAAAACCUAAAGUAAACUCAAACCCUACUUUUAGACAAAAAUGUGUUUAAGUUUACUACAAUUGGUAACUACAUACAUUUCAGUUCAUAUUCAUGGUAUCUCAAAGCAGAAUACACACAGUUGAAUACACUUAGAUGUUCUUAAGAUUAUCCAUAAAUGAUGACAGAAUUUUCAUUUUUGGGUGA